CAGCAGCCGCGGUAAUACGUAGGUGGCAAGCGUUGUCCGGAUUAUUGGGCGUAAAGGGCUCGCAGGCGGUUUCUUAAGUCUGAUGUGAAAGCCCCCGGCUCAACCGGGGAAGGUCAUUGGAAACUGGGAAACUUGAGUGCAGAAGAGGAGAGUGGAAUUCCACGUGUAGCGGUGAAAUGCGUAGAGAUGUGGAGGAACACCAGUGGCGAAGGCGACUCUCUGGUCUGUAACUGACGCUGAGGAGCGAAAGCGUGGGGAGCGAACAGGAUUAGAUACCCCGGUAGUCCCUGUCUCUUAUACA
rnacentral:rRNA from 1 species